GUUCACUGUUAAAUAAAGAAAAGUGCAUUUUUCCAGUGCAUGUGGAGUUAUAUGUGAGGUUCACAAAUUAUUACAAUAAAGAUAUUUUCAUAACAGUCGUUUUUUUUUUAAUGUGGGUCAAAUAUGGCUCAUGAAAGAUGUGGCUUUAUUGAGGGCCAGAUAUGGUUUUACAAUGCGGCUCAGAUCUGGGCCGAAUGCGGCCCACAUCGUGGAUGCCAGACGUGGGCCACUGUAGGACCGUCAUUCAUUGAGGUAUGUGGGCCGAGUGUACUGCCGUGUCUGCCCCAGAGCUGGGCCAGACCAAUUUUGCUUACUGGGU